rnacentral:rRNA from 1 species
UACGUACCGGACAAACGUUAUUCGGAAUUACUGGGCUUAAAGAGUGCGUAGGCGGCCCACCAGGUGGGGUGUGAAAUACCACGGCUCAACCGUGGAAUUGCGCCCCAAACCGGCGGGCUUGAGGAAGAUAGGGGUGAGCGGAACUGAUGGUGGAGCGGUGAAAUGCGUUGAUAUCAUCAGGAACACCGGUGGCGAAGGCGGCUCACUGGGUCUUAUCUGACGCUGAGGCACGAAAGCUAGGGUAGCGAACGGGAUUAGAUACCCCGGUAGUCCUAGCUGUAAACGAUGAGCACUAGAUCGUGGGGGCUUCCACACCCUCAUGGUCGUAGCGAAAGUGUUAAGUGCUCCGCCUGGGGAGUAUGGUCGCAAGGCUGAA